rnacentral:lncRNA from 1 species
UUUUGUAAUUUUAUGGAAAAUGUGUUUAAAUGAAAUGAUUUUAUAAAUUGUUUUGAAAUUUAAUGAUGACUUGAAAAUGGAGUAAUUGGAGACUACUUGUUGUAUUGUAAACUAUGUUUUGAAUUGAAUGGCUUAUGAUAAUGUGGGCAUGAAUGGCUGGAUGGGUAUUUGUGUUGAAAAUGUAUAAACUGUUGUUUGCCUUGAUAGGCUGGAUAAUGAUAAAAUUUCCAUGUCAUGCUGUUGAAUUUUUAUU